UGAAUACGAGACGCUAAGGCGUCGAAGUAGUGUAUGUCAUACUUCCAAGAAAAGCUUGCACUGUCAUAGAUAAAAAACGCCUGUACCAUAACCGACACAGGUGGGUAGGUAGAGUAUACUAAGGGGCGCGAGAUAACUCUCUCUAAGGAACUCGGCAAAAUAACUCCGUAACUUCGGGAGAAGGAGUGCCUUAUUCGUAAGGUUGCAAUAACAAGAUCCAAGCAACUGUUUAUCAAAAACACAGGUCUCCGCUAAGUCGUAAGACGAUGUAUGGGGGCUGACGCCUGCCCAGUGCCAGAAGGUUAAAGAAGUUGGUUAGCAAUUGCGAAGCUGAUAACUGAAGCCCUGGUGAACGGCGGCCGUAACAAUAACGGUCCUAAGGUAGCGAAAUUCCUUGUCGGGUAAGUUCCGACCCGCACGAAAGGCGUAAUGAUUUGGAUACUGUCUCGGAGAGGGGCUCGGUGAAAUAGACUUGUCUGUGAAGAUGCGGACUACCUGCACCAGGACAGAAAGACCCUAUGAAGCUUUACUGUAACUUGAAAUUGAAAUUGGACUUUAUUCGCGCAGUAUAGGUGGGAGGCGUUGAUUAUAAUCUUGUGGGAUUAUUGGAGCCAUCAGUGAGAUACCACUCUUGUAAUGUUAGAUUUCUAACUUUGAAUCAUUAUCUGGUCAAAGAACAGUUUCAGGCGGGCAGUUUGACUGGGGCGGUCGCCUCCUAAACGGUAACGGAGGCGUACAAAGGUUUCCUCUGAACGGUUAGAAAUCGUAUCUAGAGUGUAAAGGCAUAAGGAAGCUUGACUGUGAGACCUACAAGUCGAGCAGGGACGAAAGUCGGUCUUAGUGAUCUGACGGUACUGAGUGGAAAGGCCGUCACUCAACGGAUAAAAGUUACUCUAAGGAUAACAGGCUGAUCUCCCCCAAGAGUUCACAUCGACGGGGAGGUUUGGCAACUCGAUGUCGGCUCAUCGCAUCCUGGGGCGGUAGUACGUCCCAAGGGUUGGGCUGUUCGCCCAUGAAAGCGGUACGCGAGCUGGGUUCAGAACGUCGUGAGACAGUUCGGUCCAUAUCCGGUGUAGGCGUUAGAAUAUUGAGAGGAGCCUUCUUUAGUACGAGAGGACCGAGAAGGACAUACCUCUGGUGUACCAGUUAUCGUGCCAACGGUAAACGCUGGGUAGCUAUGUAUGGAGUGGAUAACCGCUGAAAGUAUCUAAGUGGGAAGCCCACCUCAAGAUAAGUAUUCUCAUC
rnacentral:rRNA from 1 species